rnacentral:rRNA from 1 species
GAUGAACGCUGGCGGCGUGUCUAAUACAUGCAAGUCGAGCGAACAGAUAAGGAGCUUGCUCCUUUGACGUUAGCGGCGGACGGGUGAGUAACACGUGGGUAACCUACCUAUAAGACUGGAAUAACUCCGGGAAACCGGGGCUAAUGCCGGAUAACAUUUAGAACCGCAUGGUUCUAAAGUGAAAGAUGGUUUUGCUAUCACUUAUAGAUGGACCCGCGCCGUAUUAGCUAGUUGGUAAGGUAACGGCUUACCAAGGCAACGAUACGUAGCCGACCUGAGAGGGUGAUCGGCCACACUGGAACUGAGACACGGUCCAGACUCCUACGGGAGGCAGCAGUAGGGAAUCUUCCGCAAUGGGCGAAAGCCUGACGGAGCAACGCCGCGUGAGUGAUGAAGGUCUUCGGAUCGUAAAACUCUGUUAUUAGGGAAGAACAAAUGUGUAAGUAACUGUGCACGUCUUGACGGUACCUAAUCAGAAAGCCACGGCUAACUACGUG